rnacentral:rRNA from 1 species
GACGAACGCUGGCGGCGUGCCUAGUACAUGCAAGUAGGACGCAGUUGCGAACGGAUGAGUAACGCGUAGGUAACUGCCUCUUAGAGGGGGAUAACUAUUGGAAACGCUAGCUAAUACCGCAUACUAGUAGAUGGACCUGCGUUGUAUUAGCUAGUCGGUGGGGUAAUGGCCUACCUAGGCGACGAUACAUAGCCGAGCUGAAAGGGUGAUUGGUCAAACAGGGACCGAGACCCGGCCCAGACUUCUACGGGAGGCAGCAGUAGGGAAUCUUCGGCAAUGGGGGAAAACUUUAUCGAGCAACGCCGCGGGAGUGAAGAAGGUUUUCGGAUCGUAAAGCUCUGUGGUUAAGGAAGCGGUACUUAACCAGAAAGGGCCGGCUAACUACGUGCCAGCAGCCGCGGUAAUUC